rnacentral:rRNA from 1 species
CAGACGGGUGAGUAACGCGUAGGGAAUCUACCUUUUAGUGGGGAAUAACGCUCCGAAUGGAGUGGUAAUACCGCAUGAGACCACCUUCUGGGAUGAGGGUGGUGAAACCUGGGGACCGCAAGGCCUGGGGCUAGAAGAGGAUCCUGCUUCUGAUUAGCUAGUUGGCGGGGUAAUGGUCCACCACCGUGACGAUCUGUAGUCGGCCUGAGAGGGUGAUCGGCCUCACUGGAAGUGAGACACGGUCCAGACUCUUACGGGAGGCAGCAGUGGGGAAUUUUGCGCAAUGGAAGUAAGUCUGACGCAGCAACGCCCCGUGGGUGAUGAAGGUCUUCGGACUGUAAAACCCUGUCGUCAGGGACGAAGGUUGAGGGGUUAAUAACCCUUUAUCUUGACGGUACCUGCAUAGGAAGCCCCGGAUAUUUCUGUGCCAGCAGCCUCGGUAAUACAGAGGGGGCAAGCGUUAUUCGGAAUUAUUGGGUGUAAAGGGUUCGUAGGCGGUUUUUUAAGUCAGAUGUGUAAUCCCCGAGCUUAACUUGGGAACUGUAUUUGUGUCAGGAAGGCUAGAGUUCGUGAGAGGGUGGUGGAAUUCCUUGUGUAGCGGUGAAAUGGGUAGUGAUGAGGAGGAACACCAGUGGCGAAGGCGGUCACCUGGACAGUAACUGACGAUGAGGCGCGAAAGUGUGGGUAGCAAACAGGAUUAUAUACCCUGGUAGUCCACGCUGUAAACGAUGAACACUUGGUGUGGAGGGAGUUGACCCCUUCCGUGCUGGAGCUAACGCGUUAAGUGUUCCGCCUGGGGAG